AGAGUUUGAUCAUGGCUCAGAUUGAACGCUGGCGGCAGGCCUAACACAUGCAAGUCGAGCGGAUGAAGGGAGCUUGCUCCUGGAUUCAGCGGCGGACGGGUGAGUAAUGCCUAGGAAUCUGCCUGGUAGUGGGGGAUAACGUCCGGAAACGGGCGCUAAUACCGCAUACGUCCUGAGGGAGAAAGUGGGGGAUCUUCGGACCUCACGCUAUCAGAUGAGCCUAGGUCGGAUUAGCUAGUUGGUGGGGUAAAGGCCUACCAAGGCGACGAUCCGUAACUGGUCUGAGAGGAUGAUCAGUCACACUGGAACUGAGACACGGUCCAGACUCCUACGGGAGGCAGCAGUGGGGAAUAUUGGACAAUGGGCGAAAGCCUGAUCCAGCCAUGCCGCGUGUGUGAAGAAGGUCUUCGGAUUGUAAAGCACUUUAAGUUGGGAGGAAGGGCAGUAAGUUAAUACCUUGCUGUUUUGACGUUACCAACAGAAUAAGCACCGGCUAACUUCGUGCCAGCAGCCGCGGUAAUACGAAGGGUGCAAGCGUUAAUCGGAAUUACUGGGCGUAAAGCGCGCGUAGGUGGUUCAGCAAGUUGGAUGUGAAAUCCCCGGGCUCAACCUGGGAACUGCAUCCAAAACUACUGAGCUAGAGUACGGUAGAGGGUGGUGGAAUUUCCUGUGUAGCGGUGAAAUGCGUAGAUAUAGGAAGGAACACCAGUGGCGAAGGCGACCACCUGGACUGAUACUGACACUGAGGUGCGAAAGCGUGGGGAGCAAAACAGGAUUAGAUACCCUGGUAGUCCACGCCGUAAACGAUGUCGACUAGCCGUUGGGAUCCUUGAGAUCUUAGUGGCGCAGCUAACGCGAUAAGUCGACCGCCUGGGGAGUACGGCCGCAAGGUUAAAACUCAAAUGAAUUGACGGGGGCCCGCACAAGCGGUGGAGCAUGUGGUUUAAUUCGAAGCAACGCGAAGAACCUUACCUGGCCUUGACAUGCUGAGAACUUUCCAGAGAUGGAUUGGUGCCUUCGGGAACUCAGACACAGGUGCUGCAUGGCUGUCGUCAGCUCGUGUCGUGAGAUGUUGGGUUAAGUCCCGUAACGAGCGCAACCCUUGUCCUUAGUUACCAGCACCUCGGGUGGGCACUCUAAGGAGACUGCCGGUGACAAACCGGAGGAAGGUGGGGAUGACGUCAAGUCAUCAUGGCCCUUACGGCCAGGGCUACACACGUGCUACAAUGGUCGGUACAAAGGGUUGCCAAGCCGCGAGGUGGAGCUAAUCCCAUAAAACCGAUCGUAGUCCGGAUCGCAGUCUGCAACUCGACUGCGUGAAGUCGGAAUCGCUAGUAAUCGUGAAUCAGAAUGUCACGGUGAAUACGUUCCCGGGCCUUGUACACACCGCCCGUCACACCAUGGGAGUGGGUUGCUCCAGAAGUAGCUAGUCUAACCGCAAGGGGGACGGUUACCACGGAGUGAUUCAUGACUGGGGUGAAGUCGUAACAAGGUA
rnacentral:rRNA from 1 species